AAAGGGUGCGUAGGCGGCCUGUUAAGUCAGGGGUGAAAGACGGUAGCUCAACUAUCGCAGUGCCCUUGAUACUGAUGGGCUUGAAUUGACUAGAGGUAGGCGGAAUGUGACAAGUAGCGGUGAAAUGCAUAGAUAUGUCACAGAACACCGAUUGCGAAGGCAGCUUACUAUGGUCUUAUUGACGCUGAGGCACGAAAGCGUGGGGAUCAAACAGGAUUAGAUACCCUUGU
rnacentral:rRNA from 1 species